CACCUUUAAAAUCCCUCCUGGCCAGAGGAAAAACCCUUUCACCUGUAAAGGGUUAAAAAGCUAGGAUAACCUCGCUGGCACCUGACCAAAAUGACCAAUGAGGAGACAAGAUACUUUCAAAAACUGGGGGGAGGGAGAAACAAAGCCUCCCUCUCUGUCUGUGUGAUGCUUUUGCCGGGGACAGAACAGGAAUGGAGUCUUAGAAUUCAGUACAACAAUGAAAAAGCCCGACAGUACUGAUGGCCCAGCGGCAAGAGACAAUGGAUUGUAAAAGAGCUUAGUCUUCCUGUAAACUUGUGCGUCAGCCUGUGAAGAAUGGCUACGGGGCCCUAUAGAGGUAUGUGACCAUGUCACCUGAUACUGAAACCCAUCUUGAAUUCUGUACUUUUCCAUGAGAAGCUGUGGUGGGGGGAGUCAAACUAUGAAACAAAGGACUCCCGCCUUAUGCAAAUCCUAUUUAAGGGUGGGGAGUGAGGCAAUCCAAGCCAUCAAUUCUCCCCCCGCUACCCCACCCAAGAUGACUGUUAGAAACAACUAAGACUGAACUGGGGGAAAGAACUGGACCCACAUUAGAAGGAGCAUCUGGCCUGUGAAGAAGAUUAUUAGAACAACAUUUAGGAUCCAGGCUGCAACAAGUGGAGCAAACCAGAUUGAGAUAUCAACGCACCUGAUCUCAGGACCGACCCUUUAUUAGCCAGUCAUCGAGGUAUGGAUAAAUUUGCACCUCAUGUCACCUCAGGAGCUGGACCAAAGGAUACCCCAGGACCUCAAUGGAGGCAGAGGCGGUGGGGGACGGAAAGGCUUUCUAGCCUGCUGAGGGGUGUGUAGGCCCAAGGAGCUGAGGGUGGUCUUUAAGGCCAUGGAGCCGUGCAUCGGUCAGCUCCGAAAAGAUCUCUGAUCCCUCAAACGGAAGGUCUUGAACAAUAGUCUGCAUCUCCUGGGAGAGCGCAGAGGACUGUAACCAGGAGCUGCACCUCAUGAUCACCGCAGAAGUGACCACCCUGGCUACUGAAUCCAAGGCCAUAUGGAGGGUGCCUCUUACCACCGCUCUGCCCUCAUCCACCAAGGCGGUGAACUCCUGGGCUCGGUCUUGUGGGACUCCUUGAAUUUGCUGAUGGAGUCCCACAGGUUGAAGUUGUACCUGCCUAGCAGGGCCUGAUGGUUAGACAUGCGAAAUUGCAGGCUGACUGUCAAAUAAAUU